rnacentral:misc_RNA from 1 species
AAGAAAUUGAUCCUGUAGAACAGAGAAGUAAAGGCUAUUGUCCAUUAACUCCAAGAGAAGUUGGACUAUUCCUUUCCGGUCUUGGAUUUCCAUCAAACACUCCUAUAUAUAUUGCUGCUGGAGAGAUAUAUGGGGGUGAUUCCCAUAUGUCUGAUCUGUUGUUGCGCUACCCCUUGUUAAUGAAUAAGGAAAAGUUGGCUUCUAUUGAGGAGCUUGAGCCAUUUGUCAAUCAUGCAUCUCAAUUGGCUGCCCUAGACUAUAUCGUGUCUGUUGAGAGUGACAUAUUCA